CCCCAGCUCUGCCACCCCCUCAAGCUCCUACACCGGCUCCCUUCCCUUCAGGACUCGACUUCCACAAGAGUCACACACGCGUGUCCACUUCCUCUUCACCCACGUGCCUGUGAGAGCCUCCUCGCACACACGCCUGCAAUCCCGAGCAGCGGGUCCGCCUGCAGCGCUCUAACGACACGAGCCUUCCACCAGCGAGGACCUGAAGCAGAAAGCAAGUGCCUGUUCCCUGCACUGGUCCUCCUCUGCACCUCGCUCUCUGAAGCGCACACUCUCCUCCUCGAAACUCCACCUUCCAGCGGGUUCGGCGUCAGGGGAAGCUUCUGGCUCUGCCUCUCUGUCCUCGCUGAUUUCUCCUCUAGUUUCUAGGAGUGGGCUAGGCAGGGACAGCCGCAAGAUACCCUAAACCUUCAGGAUGUCCUAACUUGGCAAAUGCCGGAACACCUGCAGAGGUUCGGAGCUUCCUCCUGAGUCGUGUUGGAGGCAGGGGCCCGUCUCCUGUGUUUCAGUCACUGCCACCAGGUAAGCGCUUCGAUAACUUUUGCUAAAGCGUAACUCUCACUUGAUGACCAUUUUCUACAAAGAAGUAAAUCACCUAAAUGAGAAUUACCGCCUCUACCACGAUGAGGAAGAAAAACUCAGGAUGCCGGGCAACUUGGUAGAUUCACGCCGAGCCAGGGGGCUCACUCCCGCAGCAGCCGGCCCGGUCACGCCUCGAAAGAUCUGCGAGCGCCAUGCCGUUAACUCUCAGCCUCUUCAAAACAUACAGACUCCAAGCGCCGCACCAGACACGCGAACGUCAGGGCAUCCUCCCGCUCCAGCAGCGCAGGCUCUCCGCGGCCUUCUCUUUCACCUCGAGGAUGCGACCGUCACUCCCAGGUGGACGGGGCUUCCUCUGGCACCCUGGGCUCUGUCCUCCGAUCCCGACACCAUCACGCCCACACUCUGUCGGGUGCCUCAGACUCAUAUGCCUGACACUAAUCAAUCGUCCCCAGCCCCACCUCCUCCUGCGGUUCUGAGUUGAGUCAAGGACGUGACGGGAACCUCCAAGGUACCAGAACCUAACCUUCAGGAUGAUGCUGUCCUCUGCCCUCCGGCCUGCUCCGAAGCUCCAGGCUCCCUGAGCUCAGGCCAGGCAGUGUGUUCAGUUGGCUGCCCCUGUGGCCUGCAUGUGUUCCUGUACACACACGGCAGGGGCUGGAGCGUGUCUGUGAGUGCGUGAGCUCCCCGUACACACACAGCAGGUGCUGGAGCGUGUCUGUGAGCACGUGAGCACCCUGUACACAUAUGGCACGUGCCAGAGUGCGCCUGUGAGCAUGUGAGCGCCCUGUACACACACGGCAGGUGCUGGAGUGCGUCUGUGAGGGUGUGAGCGCCCUAUACACAUACGACAGGCGCUUGAACAUGUCUGAGCACCCCGUACACACACAGCAGGUGCCAGAGCACGUCUGUGAGCACGUGAGCACCCUGCACACACAUGGCAGGUGCUGGAGUGUGUCUGUGAGCGCGUGAGCACCCUGUACACACAUGGCACGUGCCAGAGUGCGCCUGUGAGCAUGUGAGCGCCCUGUACACACACGGCAGGUGCUGGAGUGCGUCUGUGAGCAUGUGAGCGCCCUGUACAUACAUGACAGGUGCCGGAGCAUGUCUGUGAGCACGUGAGUGCCCUGUACACACACGGCAGGUGCUGGAAUGUGUCUGUGAGUGUGCGAGCACCCUGUACACACAGGGCAGGUGCUGGAGCGUGUCUGUGAGCGCAUGAGUGCCCUGUACACACAUGGCAGAUGCCGGAGCAUGUCUGUGAGCGCCCCGGACACACACAGCAGGUGCUGGAGAUUGUCUGUGAGGGUGUGAGCGCCCUGUACACACACAGCAGGUGCUGGAGUGCGUCUGUGAGUGUGCGAGCACCCUGUACACACACGGCAGGUGCUGGAGAGUGUCUGUGAGCGCAUGCGUGGCCCGUACACACACGGCAGGUGCCAGAGCACGUCUGUGAGCACGUGAGUGGCCUGUACACACACGGCAGAUGCCGGAGCACGUCUGUGAGCGCCCCGUACACACACAGCAGGUGCUGGAGUAUGUCUGUGAACGCGUGAGUGCCGGUACCCGUGGUGAAGGGACACCCUCUCAGCCUCGCUUGGGUCCAGCUUCAGCCCUCAAGGCUUCGAUGUCCAGUACGAGCUGAUCCU
ensembl:lncRNA